CUCCUGGGAAGUCCUCGUGUUGCACCCCUCUCUUUUUCUUCGGAUUUUUUUCGUUGGGGUUGCCGCUUACGGCGGUCCAGCACGCUCGCUCUGCAUGCACCCCUUUCAUUUUCCCAAGUCAUUUUUUUUUUCUCGUUGGGCUUAUCGUUUACGUCGGUCCAGCACGCUCGCUUUGGGCGCUAAAGCGUCGCGGCGACGUCGAAAUCCGCGGAAGCCCCUCGGGUUGCACCUCUCCGGCGUUAAGGUGCAUCGUUGCGUUCGGAUCCUUUUAUAAGAAUUAAACGCGCUUAUGCUGAUGGGUGCGAUCAUACCAACACUAAUGCACCGGA
rnacentral:rRNA from 1 species